rnacentral:rRNA from 1 species
UGGGGAAUAUUGGACAAUGGGCGCAAGCCUGAUCCAGCCAUGCCGCGUGAGUGAUGAAGGCCUUAGGGUUGUAAAGCUCUUCCACCGGAGAAGAUAAUGACGGUAUCCGGAGAAGAAGCCCCGGCUAACUUCGUGCCAGCAGCCGCGGUAAUACGAAGGGGGUUAGCGUUGCUCGGAAUCACUGGGCGUAAAGCGCACGUAGGCGGAUUGUUAAGUCAGGGGUGAAAUCCUGGAGCUCAACUCCAGAACUGCCCUUGAUACUGGCGAUCUUGAGUCCGUGAGAGGUGAGUGGAAUUGCGAGUGUAGAGGUGAAAUUCGUAGAUAUUCGCAAGAACACCAGUGGCGAAGGCGGCUCACUGGCCCGGUACUGACGCUGAGGUGCGAAAGCGUGGGGAGCAAACA